rnacentral:rRNA from 1 species
AUUGAACGCUGGCGGCAUGCCUUACACAUGCAAGUCGAACGGCAGCGGACCUUCGGGUGCCGGCGAGUGGCGAACGGGUGAGUAAUAUAUCGGAACGUACCUUUCAGUGGGGGAUAACGUAGCGAAAGUUACGCUAAUACCGCAUAUUCUGUGAGCAGGAAAGCAGGGGAUCGCAAGACCUUGCGCUGAUUGAGCGGCCGAUAUCAGAUUAGCUAGUUGGUGAGGUAAAGGCUCACCAAGGCGACGAUCUGUAGCGGGUCUGAGAGGAUGAUCCGCCACACUGGAACUGAGACACGGUCCAGACUCCUACGGGAGGCAGCAGUGGGGAAUUUUGGACAAUGGGCGCAAGCCUGAUCCAGCCAUGCCGCGCGAGUGAAGAAGGCCUUCGGGUUGUAAAGCUCUUUCGGCCGGGAAGAAAUCGCACAGGUUAAUACCCUGUGUGGAUGACGGUACCGGAAUAAGAAGCACCGGCUAACUACGUG